AUUGAACGCUGGCGGCAGGCCUAACACAUGCAAGUCGAACGGUAACAGGAAGAAGCUUGCUUCUUUGCUGACGAGUGGCGGACGGGUGAGUAAUGUCUGGGAAACUGCCUGAUGGAGGGGGAUAACUACUGGAAACGGUAGCUAAUACCGCAUAACGUCGCAAGACCAAAGAGGGGGACCUUCGGGCCUCUUGCCAUCGGAUGUGCCCAGAUGGGAUUAGCUAGUAGGUGGGGUAACGGCUCACCUAGGCGACGAUCCCUAGCUGGUCUGAGAGGAUGACCAGCCACACUGGAACUGAGACACGGUCCAGACUCCUACGGGAGGCAGCAGUGGGGAAUAUUGCACAAUGGGCGCAAGCCUGAUGCAGCCAUGCCGCGUGUAUGAAGAAGGCCUUCGGGUUGUAAAGUACUUUCAGCGGGGAGGAAGGGAGUAAAGUUAAUACCUUUGCUCAUUGACGCUACCCGCAGAAGAAGCACCGGCUAACUCCGUG
rnacentral:rRNA from 1 species